rnacentral:rRNA from 1 species
AUUGAACGCUGGCGGCAUGCUUUACACAUGCAAGUCGAACGGUAACAGGGAGCUUGCUCCGCUGACGAGUGGCGAACGGGUGAGUAACGCAUCGGAACGUACCCAGUCGUGGGGGAUAACGUAGCGAGAGUUACGCUAAUACCGCAUACGUCCUGAGGGAGAAAGCGGGGGACCGUAAGGCCUCGCGCGAUUGGAGCGGCCGAUGUCGGAUUAGCUAGUUGGUAGGGUAAAGGCCUACCAAGGCGACGAUCCGUAGCGGGUCUGAGAGGAUGAUCCGCCACACUGGGACUGAGACACGGCCCAGACUCCUACGGGAGGCAGCAGUGGGGAAUAUUGCACAAUGGGCGAAAGCCUGAUGCAGCAAUGCCGCGUGUGUGAAGAAGGCCUGCGGGUUGUAAAGCACUUUCGGCCGGGAAGAAAUCGCACAGGUUAAUACCCUGUGUGGAUGACGGUACCGGAAUAAGAAGCACCGGCUAACUACGUGCCAGCAGCCGUACGG